rnacentral:lncRNA from 1 species
UAAAAAGUGCAUUCAUAAAUUUUAAACGAGUUUAAGUGGACCCACACACUAACUUUAGCAAUCCUCACGAGUCACGAGCUUAUUAAUUCGGACCUGCUAGCGUCCGAACGUCCGAUGGGAAAUUUCCCAUCGGAUGGUACAUCGCAUCAUGAAGAACCAGAAACUGCAACAUUAUAAAUUACCUUUUGCAACAACUAGAAAUAAUAAUAUCGGAUCUCAUGAGAUUCUAAGAAAACAAAUUCCCGCCGCAACAGAUGGAGAGUGUUUCGUGCAACAUAUUCAAAAUCCCCUUUUUUUCCUCUAGGAAAUAGAACCUCAUAACCUAGAUAUCGAGACAUCCGAGGACACCUCGUGCAACCUCAAAAAACGACUAAUGCAACAAAAAAACAUCACUUGUUGCAAUAUGAACAAGAAAAUUCUAUUGCAACAUCAAGGGGAAAAAAUCCGUUGCAACAUAUACAACAUAACUAUGCAACAUUUUCAAAUCGCUAUUGCAACAUCUUCAAAUCUCUAGUGCAACAUGGAGUCAGGCCACAUCAUCGUUGGCUUCUGCUACCACACCAUGUCGCCAUGUCCAGCAUGUAUUUGAAGUGGUUAUCUCAGGGAUGCUUGUGUUGUGGAGUCGCUGCCUCUCCGACGGCAUACGGCGCGGCUUCGGCUGUGAUUAAUCGGGUUGGGCGAUGUUGGGGAGGCGGAUAGGUGCUGCAAGGGAAGUAGCUGCGAGCACAGCUGGCAGUGACGGCGAGGUAGCGCGAUGCAAGGGAGGAAGCUGUGAGUGUUGUUGCGCGUUGAUGACGAGGAGGUAGUGCGAUGUGGGGGAGGCAGCUGCGAGUGCUGCUUCUAGAGGUGAUGAGGCAGUGCGGGGGUGGGAGCUGCAAGGGGCGAGCGCCGCCACCUGUAAGGCAGCUGCUAGCGCUGCCGCCGAUUGAAUGAGCGAGCUGCGAGCUACAACCUUGCCAGAAUCUAU